rnacentral:rRNA from 1 species
GGAGGUUGGCUCAGAAGCAGCCAUCCUUGAAAGAGUGCGUAAUAGCUCACUGGUCAAGUGGUCGUGCGCCGACAAUUGAGCGGGGCUCAAGCGCGCCGCCGAAGCCGCGGAUCCGCCGCGAUGGGCCCGGCCGCCCCCUGUGGGGGGGUGGUGGGGCGCGGCGGGUGGUAGGGGAGCGUCCCGCGCGGGGUGAAGCCGCCGGGUGACCGGGGGUGGACGGCGCGGGAGUGAGAAUGCAGGCAUGAGUAGCGAUACUGGGGUGGGAGUCCCCAGCGCCGUAUGACCAAGGGUUCCAGGGCCAGGCUGGUCCGCCCUGGGUGAGUCGGGACCUAAGGCGAGGCCGACGGGCGUAGUCGAUGGAUGACGGGUUGAUAUUCCCGUACCGGACCGGAUACCGACCGUGCCGACGCGCGGGUGCUGACCCACGCCCCGCGCCGCCCGUGUACGCCCCCGCGUCCCGGUCUUCGGGCCGGGCGGGGGCGGGGCGGCGGGGGUCUGGGGACCCUCCGCGCAGGUAGGCAAGCGUAUUAACAGGGGUGACGCGCAGUGGUGGCCCCGCGGGUCUGAUGGCUCGGCCCGUUCAAGCGCGCGGCCCGCCGCCCAGGCAAAUCCGGGCGGCUGCCUUCGAUGGCGGGGGUGAGGCGCGAUGGUGACCCGGCCCGACCGGCCGGGGAAGCAGGGUGAUCCUGUGGCGCCGAGAAAAGCCUCGACGCGAGGGGCCGGUCCGCCCGUACCCCAAACCGACACAGGUGGUCGGGCAGAGCAUGCCCAGGCGCACGGGCGAACCGUGGUGAAGGAACUCGGCAAAACGCCCCCGUAACUUCGGGAGAAGGGGGGCCCGAACCCUGAAACGGCUGGCCCGUUGGGGGUGAGGGUCGCAGAGGCCAGGGGGGAGCGACUGUUUACUAAAAACACAGGUCCGUGCGAAGCCGCAAGGCGAUGUAUACGGACUGACGCCUGCCCGGUGCUGGAAGGUCAAGAGGAUCCCUCAGCCCCCCGCGGGGGUGAAGGGGUGAGUCCAAGCCCCAGUAAACGGCGGUGGUAACUAUAACCAUCCUAAGGUAGCGAAAUUCCUUGUCGGGUAAGUUCCGACCUGCACGAAUGGCGUAACGACUCCCCCGCUGUCUCCACCACGGGCCCGGCGAAAUUGCAUUACGAGUAAAGAUGCUCGUUGCGCGCAGAAGGACGGAAAGACCCCGGGACCUUCACUGCAGCUUGGUAUUGGCGCCCGGUUCGGCUCGUGCAGGAUAGGUGGGAGACUGUGAGGCCGCCGCGUCAGCGGUGCGCGGAGUCGUCGUUGAGAUACCACUCCGGCCGUGUCGUGCGCCUGAACCUGGGCCCGUGAUCCGGGUCAGGGACAGUGCCUGGCGGGUAGUUCAACUGGGGCGGUUGCCUCCCAAAGGGUAACGGAGGCGCUCAAGGGUCCCCUCAGCCUGGUCGGCAACCAGGUGUCGAGUGCAAGUGCACAAGGGGGCUUGACUGCGAGACCGACGGGUCGGGCAGGUGCGAAAGCAGGAACUAGUGAUCCGGCGGCUCCGUGUGGACGGGCCGUCGCUCAACGGAUAAAAGGUACCCCGGGGAUAACAGGCUGAUCCUGCCCAAGAGUCCAUAUCGACGGCAUGGUUUGGCACCUCGAUGUCGGCUCGUCGCAUCCUGGGGCUGGAGCAGGUCCCAAGGGUUGGGCUGUUCGCCCAUUAAAGCGGUACGCGAGCUGGGUUUAGAACGUCGUGAGACAGUUCGGUCCCUAUCCUCUGCGCGCGCAGGAGACUUGAGGAGACCCGUCCCCAGUACGAGAGGACCGGGACGGACGGACCUCUGGUGCGCCAGUUGUCCCGCCAGGGGCACCGCUGGUUGGCCACGUCCGGGAAGGGUAACCGCUGAAGGCAUCUAAGCGGGAAACCACCUCCAAGACCAGGUCCCCGCACAACCCCCCCAGGGGGUUGUGGAAGGCCCCCAGUGGACCACUGGGUCGAUAGGCCGGAGGUGCAAGCCCGGCAACGGGCUCAGCCGACCGGUACUAAUAGGCCGACACGAACCACACA